rnacentral:rRNA from 1 species
GAUGAACGCUGGCGGCGUGCCUAAUACAUGCAAGUCGAGCGAACAGACGAGGAGCUUGCUCCUCUGACGUUAGCGGCGGACGGGUGAGUAACACGUGGAUAACCUACCUAUAAGACUGGGAUAACUUCGGGAAACCGGAGCUAAUACCGGAUAAUAUAUUGAACCGCAUGGUUCAAUAGUGAAAGACGGUUUUGCUGUCACUUAUAGAUGGAUCCGCGCCGCAUUAGCUAGUUGGUAAGGUAACGGCUUACCAAGGCAACGAUGCGUAGCCGACCUGAGAGGGUGAUCGGCCACACUGGAACUGAGACACGGUCCAGACUCCUACGGGAGGCAGCAGUAGGGAAUCUUCCGCAAUGGGCGAAAGCCUGACGGAGCAACGCCGCGUGAGUGAUGAAGGUCUUCGGAUCGUAAAACUCUGUUAUUAGGGAAGAACAAAUGUGUAAGUAAAUAUGCACGUCUUGACGGUACCUAAUCAGAAAGCCACGGCUAACUACGUGC